AAGUCGAGCGGACAGAUGGGAGCUUGCUCCCUGAUGUUAGCGGCGGACGGGUGAGUAACACGUGGGUAACCUGCCAGUAAGACUGGGAUAACUCCGGGAAACCGGGGCUAAUACCGGAUGGUUGUUUGAACCGCAUGGUUCAAACAUAAAAGGUGGCUUCGGCUACCACUUACAGAUGGACCCGCGGCGCAAUAGCUAGUUGGUGAGGUAACGGCUCACCAAGGCAACGAUGCGUAGCCGACCAGAGAGGGUGAUCGGCCACACAGGGACUGAGACACGGCCCACACACCUACCGGAGGCAGCAGUAGGGAAUCUUCCGCAAUGGACGAAAGUCUGACGGAGCAACGCCGCGUAAGUGAUGAAGGUUUUCGGAUCGUAAAGCUCUGUUGUUAGGGAAGAACAAGUACCGUUCAAAUAGGUCGGUACCUGGACAGUACCUCACCACAGAGCCCCGGGUUACUACAUGCCAGACAGCCGCUG
rnacentral:rRNA from 1 species